GAUUUUAAAAUAUAAAUUAGCACCAAAAUAAUUAAUUUAAAAAAAAAAUAUAGCGACUGUUUAUAACGACAAUCAAACGAACAACACAUCGACAAUUAUUAGCGAUUGUCGCUGUAAUUGGUCGUUGAAUCUAGCGACAGACAAACGAACAAUGUAUGUUGUCGAUUGUUGCUGUCGCUGGAUCCAGCGACAGAGAAACGAACAGGGCAUAUGCCUUCGAAAAUAUCUCAUGUUAGGGUUAGGCCAUGCAAAUAU
rnacentral:sRNA from 1 species